rnacentral:rRNA from 1 species
CUACGGGCCGCAGCAGUGAGGAAUAUUGCACAAUGGGGGGAACCCUGAUGCAGCAACGCCGCGUGGAGGAUGACGCAUUUCGGUGUGUAAACUCCUUUUAUAUGUCAAGAAAAUGACGGUAGCAUAUGAAUAAGCACCGGCUAACUCCGUGCCAGCAGCCGCGGUAAUACGGCGGGUGCAAGCGUUACUCGGAAUCACUGGGCGUAAAGGACGCGUAGGCGGGUUGGAAAGUCAGGUGUGAAAUCCUACAGCUUAACUGUAGAACUGAACUUGAAACUUCUAAUCUAGAGUAUGGGAGGGGGAGAUGGAAUUAGUGGUGUAGGGGUAAAAUCCGUAGAUAUCACUAGGAAUACCUAAAGCGAAGGCGAUCCCCUGGAACAUUACUGACGCUAAGGCGUGAAAGCGUGGGGAGCAAACAGGAUUAGAUACCCGCGUAGUC